UUUGUUGUAUUGAGGUGGAUAUGAACUUAUAUCAUCUUACAGGUUGCAAUCGACUGUAUGGUGGAGAGUUGCAAUGAACCUGCCUGGGUUCUUUCUGACUAACCAAAGAAGUCAAACAAUUAACGCCUAAUAGAACACCUACAUGAGAAAUUUCUAAGCACCAUCAUCGACAAUUUCCAUGAAAAAUUUCCCACCCUUUAUAUAGAUGUGAAAAGUCAACAUUAGCUCUCAAACAGUUGAGACGGUUGGAUUCGCUUCUUUCAAAGUGGGGAUUAUGUUCUUCUAGCAAACAUGUUUGCAAGUGCUAGCCAAUGGAACAAAGUGACAAGAGUGAGAGAGGCAAUGAGAAACAGAGGAGUUCAGAAACCAGAGCCAGGUAAGAAGUUCUGGAAUGUGUUUCAUCUGCAGCCUAUGCGUGAUCAGAAGGUACAAUUCCAAAAAAAAUAAUAUCAUCUAAUUUCACAUUAUUUCCAUUGCUUUAUGAUUAUACAAUUCCAAAAAAAUGAGAACCAGAGGUUAACAGUACACAGACUGCUGAAAUUGAUGUUUUA